rnacentral:lncRNA from 1 species
GAGCCCCAGGAUUGUGGGGAGGAGCGAGGAGCGUCAGGCGGGGCAGAGCCUGGGGUCUUCAUGAAAUCUGAGGACAAGGACCCUUCUCUGGGCUGGGUUUGAGUCCCACGCUCUUCCACAGAUGUCUUCCUCCACUGGGCAGGUCCCUCAGUCUCACCUCCCUUUUUCCAUCUGUAAAGAGGAGGUAGGUGACAAUAGUCUUCUGCUCUUGGGGUGGCUGAGGGCUCCCUGAGCUGACAGAUGUCCCGUCAGGCCUGUGCCAGGCUCAGAGGAGAUGAUCAAUCCCAGGAAGGGCUGGGCGUCUGUGGUUUUCUCUGCCUUCUGGCUUCUUCUCUGUUCCCUCCUUUUUCUACCCAGAUGACCCAGCGCCUCUCCUGGCGCCCCUGCUCCCCACCCAUCCCUCGCUUCUCUGCAUCUUUGAACUUUUGCUCCUGCUGAGAGAGCCACCCUGUACCCCACCUCAGUCCAAACUCUAGGAGAAAGUGCGCGAGGAGAGGGCAGAUGAGCUGCUGUGAGGCAGUGCCUCUGCCCGGAGGUUUGGACACUGAGAGCGUUGCCAAAACAGUCUGUCAUCCCUGGCCUUGCUCAGUGGGUUAAGGAUCCAGUGUUGCUGUGAGCUGUGGUGUAGGUCACAGACGCGGCUCGGAUCCCGAGUUGCUGUGGCUCUGGCGGAGGCCAGUGGCAAUAGCUCUGAUUAGACCCCUAGUCUGGGAACCUCCAUAUGCCAUGGGAGUGGCCCAAGAAAAGGCAAAAAGACAAAACAAAAAAAACCCCACAACAUAGGGUCCCUGAGGAUGCAGGUUCAAUCCCUGGCCUUGCUCAGUGGAUUAAGUAUCCAGCACUGCCAUAGGUGCAGGGUAGGUGGCAGAUGCAGCCUGGAUCUGGCAUGGCUGUGGCUGUGGCCUAGGCCAGCAGCUGCAGCUCUGAUUCAGCCCCUAGCCUGGGAACUUCUGUAUGCUGCAGGUGUGGCCCUAAAAACAAAACAAAGCCAAACAAAAAAGGUAGGCCUGAGGGUGUGGCAGCCUCUGGGGAUGGUUGAUGGGCCACCUCAACUGAGCACUUGGGACAUCCUAGCCCAGUGCUGGGGGAGCUGUUACCACGUUGGAACUUGGCAAGGGCAGUGCAUGAUGCCCCAGCCCCGCCGCCCACUUUCUGAGUCUUGAGCUGUUUUAGUGGGAGGUGGCUCAGCUCCCACUGGGAGUAGUAGACUGAGAACGAGAACCUUCCACCCAAACUCAGCACAAGGCUAGAAACAUGUCCUUUGGAUUUAGGGCUGGGGUGUGUGUGUGUGUGUGUUGCGGUUUGCUGGGGCUGCCAUAACAAAAUCCACAAACUGGGCAGCUUAAACAGCAGACACUGAUUUUCUCACAGUUCUGGAGGCCAGAAGUCCCAAGAUCCAGGGCUUGGCAGGCUUGGUUUCUUCCACGUGUGGCUGCCUUCUAGCCGUUGCCUCCCACGGUCAUCCUGCUGGCUGUGUGUCUAUGUCCUCUCGUUGCCGGGGUCUCGUCUCAAACAGGCCCCUGAGGCUCUGGAGAGGAUUUUGUCCUUGCUUCCAGCCUUGUCCUGGGGUCCAGAGGGGCUGUGAGGCCUGGGCCCAGGUCAGGCUUCUGAAGCUAGAGAGGCCUGGAAAAGCCAGAAGGCGCACGUGCCCCACUUGCUCUCUGGGAAGCUGCCUCCCCGGUCAGUGCAAGAAGCAGCGUGGGUGGGCUGGGGGUGGCGGUACCGGCUUCUUAGCUGCAGUUGGGAGGGUGCUCUCAGCCAGAUCCGUCCCCCUAGAGAGCCCUGCAGGGUCUGG